rfam:Oryzias latipes DNA, chromosome7, strain: Hd-rR.
GUGGGAUAUGGGGAUAUGCACCCCGUGACAAUCGGUGGAAAGAUUGUGGGAUCUUUGUGCGCAAUCGCGGGCGUGCUGACCAUUGCCCUCCCAGUCCCUGUCAUCGUCUCCAAU